rnacentral:rRNA from 1 species
UGGGGAAUAUUGGACAAUGGGCGAAAGCCUGAUCCAGCCAUGCCGCGUGAGUGAUGAAGGCCUUAGGGUUGUAAUGCUCCUUUUGGCGGGGACGAUAAUGACGGUACCCGCAGAAUAAGCCCCGGCUAACUUCGUGCCAGCAGCCGCGGUAAUACGAAGGGGGCUAGCGUUGUUCGGAAUUACUGGGCGUAAAGGGCUCGUAGGUGGCCAACUAAGUCACACGUGAAAUCCCUCGGCUUAACCGGGGAACUGCGUCUGAUACUGGAUGGCUUGAAUCCGGGAGAGGGAUGUGGAAUUCCAGGUGUAGCGGUGAAAUGCGUAGAUAUCUGGAGGAACACCGGUGGCGAAGGCGGCAUCCUGGACCGGUAUUGACGCUGAGUGAGCGAAAGCCAGGGGAGCAAACGGGAUUAGAUACCCAAGUAGUCCCUGAGCGGGCUGGCAAGGCGCAU